UACGUAGGGCGCGAGCGUUGUCCGGAAUCAUUGGGCGUAAAGAGCUCGUAGGCGGCCUGUCGCGUCUGCUGUGAAAUCCCGGGGCUCAACCCCGGGCGUGCAGUGGAUACGGGCUGGCUGGAGGCAGGCAGGGGAGAACGGAAUUCCCGGUGUAGCGGUGAAAUGCGCAGAUAUCCGGAGGAACACCGAUGGCGAAGGCAGCUGCCUGGCCUGACACUGACGCUGAGGUGCGAAAGCGUGGGGAGCGAACGGG
rnacentral:rRNA from 1 species